rnacentral:rRNA from 1 species
UGGUGGUUUGAAUUGUCUGGUUAAUUCCGAUAACGAACAAGACCUUUUCCUGCUAUUUAGCUUUGGAGGGUCUAAUAAAAUUGGGUAAACUUGUUUAUCCAUAUACUUUGGUAUUUGAAGUAAGCUUCUUAGAGGUACUCUUUUUGUUUGUGAAACAAUUAAAAGGAAGAAAGACAAUAACA